AUUGAACGCUGGCGGCAGGCCUAACACAUGCAAGUCGAGCGGAUGAAGGGAGCUUGCUCCUGGAUUCAGCGGCGGACGGGUGAGUAAUGCCUAGGAAUCUGCCUGGUAGUGGGGGAUAACGUCCGGAAACGGGCGCUAAUACCGCAUACGUCCUGAGGGAGAAAGUGGGGGAUCUUCGGACCUCACGCUCUCAGAUGAGCCUAGGUCGGAUUAGCUAGUUGGUGGGGUAAAGGCCUACCAAGGCGACGAUCCGUAACUGGUCUGAGAGGAUGAUCAGUCACACUGGAACUGAGACACGGUCCAGACUCCUACGGGAGGCAGCAGUGGGGAAUAUUGGACAAUGGGCGAAAGCCUGAUCCAGCCAUGCCGCGUGUGUGAAGAAGGUCUUCGGAUUGUAAAGCACUUUAAGUUGGGAGGAAGGGCAGUAAGUUAAUACCUUGCUGUUCUGACGUUACCAACAGAAUAAGCACCGGCUAACUUCGUG
rnacentral:rRNA from 1 species